GACGAACGCUGGCGGCGUGCUUAACACAUGCAAGUCGAGCGGUAAGGCCCCUUCGGGGGUACAUGAGCGGCGAACGGGCGGGUAACACGUGGGUGACUAGCCUUCAGCUCUGGGAUAAGUCUGGGAAAGUGGGUCUAAUACCGGAUAUGACCUUUCCUCGCCUGGGGGUUGGUGGAAAGAUUUUUCGGUUGGGGAUGGAUCCGCGGCCUAUCUGCCUGCUGGUUGGGUGGUGGGUUACCAACGCGGGGGAGGGUAGGCGGCCUGCCAGGGAGGCCGGCCAGCCACGCAGGGACUGAGACACGGCCCAGACACCUACGGGAGACAGCAGGGGGGAAUAUUGCGCAAUGGGCGGAAGCCUGACGCAGCGACGCCGCGUGGGGAAGGACGGCCUGCGGGUAGUAAACCUCGUUCGAGCCCGACGAAGUUUGACGGUAGUGGUAGAAGAAGCACCGGCCAACUACGUG
rnacentral:rRNA from 1 species